UACGGAGGGUGCAAGCGUUGUCCGGAUUUAUUGGGUUUAAAGGGUGCGUAGGCGGUAUUAUAAGUCAGUGGUGAAAUCUUGCGGCUCAACCGUAAAACUGCCAUUGAAACUGUAGUACUGGAGUUCAUUCGAGGUGGUUGGAAUGCGUAGUGUAGCGGUGAAAUGCAUAGAUAUUACGCAGAACACCUAUUGCGAAGGCAGAUCACUGGAAUGAAACUGACGCUGAGGCACGAAAGCGUGGGGAGCGAACAGG
rnacentral:rRNA from 1 species